rnacentral:rRNA from 1 species
CCUACGGGAGGCAGCAGUGAGGGAUAUUGGUCAAUGGCCGCAGGGCUGAACCAGCCAAGUCGCGUGAGUGAUGACGGUCCUAUGGAUUGUAAACCUCUUUUGUCAGGGAGCAAAGGGCGCCACGUGUGGCGCUUUGCGAGUCCCUGAAGAAAAAGCAUCGGCUAACUCCGUGCCAGCAGCCGCGGUAAUACGGAGGAUGCGAGCGUUAUCCGGAUUUAUUGGGGUGAAAGGGUGCGCAGGCGGAAUGUCCCGUCAGCGGUAAAAUUUCGGGGCUCAACCCCGUCGUGCCGUUGAAACUGGGGUUCUUGAGUGAGCGAGAAGUAGGCGGAAGGCGUGGUGUAGCGGUGAAAUGCAUAGAUAGCACGCAGAACUCCGAUGGCGAAAGCAGCAUACCGGCGCUCAACUGACGCUCAGGCACGAAAGCGUGGGUAUCGAACAGGAUUAGAUACCCUUGUAGUC